rnacentral:rRNA from 1 species
UACGUAGGGGGCAAGCGUUGUCCGGAAUCAUUGGGCGUAAAGCGCGCGUAGGCGACCCGAUCAGUCCGCUGUAAAAGUCCAGGGCUCAACCCUGGAAAGCCGGUGGAUACUGUCGGGCUAGAGUCCGGAAGAGGCGAGUGGAACUCCUGGUGUAGCGGUGGAAUGCGCAGAUAUCAGGAAGAACACCAACGGCGAAGGCAGCUCGCUGGGACGGUACUGACGCUGAGACGCGAAAGCGUGGGGAGCAAACAGG